rnacentral:RNase_P_RNA from 1 species
CGAGCGGGCCAACGUGAUCGCCCCGAGAAAUCGGGGAGGAAAGUCCGAACUCCGAACGGGCGGCAUGCCGGGUAACCCCCGGUCGCGGCGACGCGAAGGAAAGUGCCACAGAAAACAAACCGCCCUGCGACCCCUCACGGGGAAGCACGGCAAGGGUGAAACGGUGCGGUAAGAGCGCACCGCCCCGGCGGCAACGCCGGGGGCACGGCAAACCCCAUGCGGAGCAAGGCCAAAUAGGGAGACGGUCGGGCGCCCGUCCCAUCCCGCCGCGAGGCGGGACCGUCUCCGGGUCGGCUGCUGGAACCCGAGGGCAACCUCGGGUCUAGAGGAAUGAUCGCGGCGGUACCGGGAAACCGGGACCGACAGAAUUCGGCUUAGCGACCCGCUCGGAGC